ACUGUUGACGUUAACCGACUGAAGCCACACUAUGACCCGCCAGUUGUCCCUAUUGCUAAGCCAAUGCUGAUGUGCCACCGCAUCAACCAGACACGUCCCGACUGGCCCUUGAAUCUCUUCCCUGCAGCUGGACGGCACACAAUUUCUGCUCCACAAGCAGCGGAUACCAACCCGUGACGCUGAUCACAGAGAACAGGAGCACCCGUGGUCUCGUUUGCUGCUGGUUACCACGCUUGCGGGGUGUACAUGCCUGGUCCCUUGGUACGGGUGCCACCGGCCAGCGUGCGGCACGGCUGCGAGAAAAGGCCUGGCCCGUGCACAUGCGGUGGACACCGGACGCCGUCCAAGAAAUCGCGCCAUAGCGGUCACCGCCGACACCACCGCCAUAAACGCCAUACGCGGGAUCGAGCUGCCAGUGGAGACAAUGCCCUGCAAGUGACAACGCCCCCUGCCCCUGUGUUAGACGCAGCUGCGACAGCUGGAGUAGUUCAAUGUAAGUGUAAAAGAAUUCAU
rnacentral:lncRNA from 1 species